GCCAUCAUAGCUCAGUGGCAGAGCACUGGUCUUGUAAACCAGGGGUUCGUGAGUUCAAACCUCGCUGGUGGCU